rnacentral:rRNA from 1 species
GAUCCUGGCUCAGGAUGAACGCUGGCGGCGUGCUUAACACAUGCAAGUCGAACGAAGCGGUUUAACGGAAGUUUUCGGAUGGAAGUUAAACUGACUGAGUGGCGGACGGGUGAGUAACGCGUGGGUAACCUGCCUCACACAGGGGGACAACAGCUAGAAAUGGCUGCUAAUACCGCAUAAGCGCACAGCUUCGCAUGAAGCAGUGUGAAAAACUCCGGUGGUGUGAGAUGGACCCGCGU